UAACAAGGUUUCCGUAGGUGAACCUGCGGAAGGAUCAUUAGUGAAUUGCUCUUUGAGCGUUAAACUAUAUCCAUCUACACCUGUGAACUGUUGAUUGACUUCGGUCAAUUACUUUUACAAACAUUGUGUAAUGAACGUCAUGUUAUUAUAACAAAAAUAACUUUCAACAACGGAUCUCUUGGCUCUCGCAUCGAUGAAGAACGCAGCGA
rnacentral:misc_RNA from 1 species